AUUGAACGCUGGCGGCAUGCUUUACACAUGCAAGUCGAACGGUAGCAGGCCGCAAGGUGCUGACGAGUGGCGAACGGGUGAGUAAUGCAUCGGAACGUGCCCAGUCGUGGGGGAUAACUACUCGAAAGAGUAGCGAAUACCGCAUACGAUCUAUGGAUGAAAGCGGGGGACCGUAAGGCCUCGCGCGAUUGGAGCGGCCGAUGUCAGAGUAGGUAGUUGGUGGGGUAAAGGCUCACCAAGCCAACGAUCUGGAGCGGGUCUGAGAGGACGACCAGCCACAGGGGGAGUGAGACACGGCCCAGACGCCUACGGGAGGCAGCAGUGGGGAAUUUUGGACAAUGGGCGCAAGCCUGAUCCAGCAAUGCCGCGUGCAGGAAGAAGGCCUUCGGGUUGUAAACUGCUUUUGUACGGAACGAAACGGCUCUGGUUAAGACCCGGGGUGAAUGACGGUACCGUAAGAAUAAGCACCGGCUAACUACGUG
rnacentral:rRNA from 1 species